AGAGUUUGAUCAUGGCUCAGAACGAACGCUGGCGGCGUGCUAACACAUGCAAGUCGAACGAGAAGUACGUAGCAAUACGUAUUGUAAAGUGGCGCACGGGUGAGUAACACGUGGGUAAUCUGCCCUUGAGUUUGGGAUAACCCCGGAAAGCGGGGCUAAUACCGAAUAAGACCACGGGGACCAAAGUCCCUGAGGUAAAAGGUGGCCUCUAUUUAUAAGCUACCACUUGAGGAUGAGCCCGCGGCCCAUUAGCUAGUUGGCGGGGUAACGGCCCACCAAGGCAAUGAUGGGUAGCUGGUCUGAGAGGACGAUCAGCCACACUGGAACUGAGACACGGUCCAGACUCCUACGGGAGGCAGCAGUGGGGAAUAUUGCGCAAUGGGCGAAAGCCUGACGCAGCAACGCCGCGUGGGGGAUGAAGGUUCUCGGAUUGUAAACCCCUUUCGACCGGAACGAAUCUCCUCCUGGUAAAUAAUCAGGAGGGUUGACGGUACCGGGAGAAGAAGCCACGGCUAACUCUGUGCCAGCAGCCGCGGUAAGACAGAGGUGGCGAGCGUUGUUCGGAUUUAUUGGGCGUAAAGCGUACGCAGGCGGUUUGGUAAGUCAGAGGUGAAAGCUCGCAGCUUAACUGCGACACUGCCUUUGAUACUGCCUUUCUUGAGUAGAGUAGGGGGAAGCGGAAUUCCGAGUGUAGAGGUGAAAUUCGUAGAUAUUCGGAGGAACACCGGUGGCGAAGGCGGCUUCCUGGACUCUAACUGACGCUCAUGUACGAAAGCGUGGGUAGCAAACAGGAUUAGAUACCCUAGUAGUCC
rnacentral:rRNA from 1 species